UAACCCUAACCUCCCUCGCCACACUCAGCUGCACCCUACCCCUUUCAUCCCCUUCAACGAAAAGCUGCAGAAACAGAAAAUUAGAAAGAAAAAGAAGCAGAGAGGAAGGAGAGGAAAGGUCUGCAAUCGAGAAAGGGAGGGGAGGAGAGCGACGUAGCCGCUGCGAGCUGGCCGCCGCCGAGCCCGUCACCCGUGCCGUUCGUCUUCAUCGCCGCCAGCUGAAGAGAGAUGCGAUUGAGAGAGAGAGAGAGAGAGAGGGUCCGCGGAGGGAGGCGUUGCCGUUCCGUGUGGCCGUGCCGUCUUCGCCGUCCUUGGAGAUCCACAAACAGAGGGCGCAAGCGCGGGGUUGGAGGACGGCGCUACUGUCGCCGCCGUUAGAGCCGCCGCCAGCUGCGUCGCCAUCGUGCCUUGACUCGCCACCGUCGACCUUGUCGCAGUCCACUGUCGCCGGAGCUCAUGUCACCGCCGAUUGAGCACCACAAAGAACAGAGAGCGCGCUCGAUGAGUGAGAAGGGGUGGAGGCUGAGUUUUGUCGCUGUAUUAUUCCAUUGCUACCUCUACCGUGCCCUGUUGAAGCUUCUGGAGCCGCUGCCGUCACUGCUGGAGUGGGCUGGAGCUCGUCGCGGAAAGAGAGAGACUAGGGCUGGCACCGUUUUGCCUGAGCUGUUGCCGUCGAUUUGGAGUUGCCAUAAACGCGGUUGUUUCCACUUUUAGUAUUCAUUCUUCUGAUGGUUGGAGUUGCUGUGGAAUGGGGCCACUGGAAGGGUGUUGCUGUUGCAGGAACCAUCACCGGGACUGCCGCUACAUGGUUCAGUCACUUCUUCCUAUUUGCGAGUUGCUGGGGUUACUGCGAAAGUGGCUUCGAGCUGAGGUUGUAGUUGCCGGUGAUUUCAGGUUGAGAGAGGAGGUUCCUGUGACCAUUUGGAUUAUGGUUUCGACGAGUUGAGGAUUUGGAAGAGCUUAUUUCUUUUUUGUUAGACGAUAUUUCUGUAUUGUUUUAGUAUUUAUGUUUCCCUCGCCUUUAACCUUGCAAGUUCUAUAAGAGGGAUAGGAUUUUGAUAUGAGAUGCUUGUAAAUUAAUAUGUAUGUAUAUGUAUAUAUAUGUAUUUCUUGUGAGCAUUGUAACUUAUAUUGUAAGUAUGAAUGUAUGUUUUUGAAAAAUUCGGUUUAAGUGUUAAACAGACUCAUAUUUUAAUAUUAAAUAUUAUAAGAGUCGUUGUAAUACCCGAACUAUCAGAGUGCUGCAGCCGGAAGCAUAACAUUUUGAUAGUUAGGGUAUUACAGAAUGCAUGUAAAGUAAACAAAAAAUAGUGAAUGAAAGAAGAACAAAUUUGGCUUGAUUGGGCUUGUGUAUUGGCUUAGGCCUUCUUGUGUUUCGUUGCUUAAUGUGUUUGGUCUAAUAUGCCCCCACAAGCUAGAGGGAAAAAAUAUUAAGAGUCCCAAGCUUGGAUAAAUUCUUGUGGAACCACUAAGGUGAAAAUGAAUUGGUGAAUAUGUCAGCCAAGUCUGCCAACUGACCCAAAGAAAAGAUAGGUAGUGGUUUCAUCAUGCUUGCUUGAGCCUUUUGGUGUACAAGGUGGCAAUUGACCUCUAAAUAUUUAGUCCUUUCAUGAAAAAAUGAAUUUGCAGCAAUGUGUAAAGCGCUUUGGUUGUCACACUACAGGAUUAAGGGAUGAUCACAAGAAACAUGAAAGACCUUUAACAAAUUCAAAAUCCUUUGUAGUUUACAUGUGGUACUAGAGAAAGCCCAAUGUUCGGCUUUAGUAGAGGAUCUAGUUAUUGUAGUUUGUUUCUUGGUUUUCUAAGAAAAAAAAUCAAUUAAGAAGUGGCUCAUGUUUAGACAUCUAUCCUAGUUUGAGUCACUAAAACCAUAUAUUUGAAUGUAAGAAGUUCUUAGAAAAGCUAAACCUCAUUCGGAAUUUUUUUUAAGUAUCGCAGAUCCUGUAAUACAACACGGUAAUGUGUCUAAGUUAAAGAAGAUAUGAAUUGGCUAAGUUGUUAAGUAGCAUAGGUGAUAUCCAUAUGUGUAGUGGUAAGCUAAAUGAGCCAGCCAACAAGACGAUGAUAGACAAAAGGAUCAGAAUAUAAGGGACUAUCAUCCUGAGACAGUUUUGUAAAAAUAUCCAUUGGAACAGAGACAGGCUUAGCAUUUAAGAGGCCAGAAUCACGUAACGAAUCCAGACAAUAUAUAGGCUUAGACAAUAAAAUUUUUUGUC